rnacentral:lncRNA from 1 species
UUGCAGGCCUGCUGGGAAAAAAUAUUGGUAUUACAAAAAUAGAAGUGUUUAUCGAGUUACAUGCAGGUGGUGGCUUGCUUGCUAUGCUUUAAAUGAUUGAAUGUAAAGAAAUCUGGACCUCCUCCCUUAACUCUUAAUGCCUUCCAAAUAUUCAGGGGAAAAGACAAGGAAAUGUACUCUGCAGGUUUAUUGAGAUCCAACGAUUUAUGGAGAAAGACUGCACAAGUUUCAAGAUCUGUAAUAUAAAAACUUCAGAGGAACUCUUCAAUUAGGAAAAAAAAGGAUGUUUUGGUUUUUCUGUUCAGAAAUUGCUUUUCCAUUUGGGACCCAUCUGACCAAUAUAUACAUACAUAGGUGAUGCACACAUGGAAGUAGGCAAGAAUCAGUAGAAGACUACACAGGAAG